GUUUCCCUUCGGUGUCCCUGUCAGCCCCUCGCAGACGCCCCUCCGCGUCCCCUCUCGGCCCCCAGCGGCACGGAGGCACGGCUCUGCCUGCUACUCCCGGUGUGGGCCGCUGGGGCCGUGCCAGGCCGUGCCCGGCCUCUCCCACACGGCCUGGAGAAAGCGCAGAGGCCGCAGGGCCGGGGCUGUGCUGCGCGUCUCCUCGUCGUCCCCUCGCAGUGCCCGGCUUCCCUCAGCCCAUCCUCCCCCUCUGCCUGCUGCUGCCCGGGCAGUGGAUCCCCUGCGGCAGCCCCUCGCGCCCUGUCAGAGCACCGCUCCAGCUGGUGACCCCAGGCCCGGGCUAAGCAGCCUGCAGGAGGCCGUGGCCGUGCUGAGGGGCUUCUUUCCACAGAUCCAACGUGCCCAGCCCGCUGCCAGCACUGCCGUGCACGAGGGCUGCUCUCAGGCACCGGAGCCAUGGCGCCAGGCGGCGGCGGAGGCUCCCGGCUUCAGAAACACCUGCACUCUGUCUAGACAGACUUCCCUGGCCAAAACAGAUACGGCAACAACCAGUUCAAAGCAUCCACUGCCUCUCCAACGCCGUGCUUCCCUUAGACAGCUUCCUGGCUUCUCCUCCUACCAAGGCCAGGAUGCAUCCCCGCAUGUCCAGCAGUGGGUGGGCAGCACCGUGCACGGAGCCCCUAUCCCUCCUGCUGCACACCCUGGGCUUUUAGGAGGAAAGAAGACUCAUUCCUCUCCCACCCCGGGUCUGUAAGUGGCUGCUCUCAAGACCUGUCCUCGGUACUCUCUUCACCUUCAACGCCUCAAAUCUAUCCACUUCUUUUAGAGCAAAAGCCCCAUCUCCCCCCUCUGCACCUCCCCCUGUGCCAGCAGUGACCCUCUGCUCUCCUGUGCCAGCUGUGACCUCCCACUGCAACACCGGGACACCUCUGUACCUUCGGUGAUGAGUUUAAACCAUUGGCCAUCCACACUCAAAGCAUCGAGCCCCACUCCUGGCCUUGCAGUCCAGCUGACACCAACAGAUGAGCUCUUGCUUUUCUUUGUGACUGCAAGGAAGAGAUGCGUUCCCAGUGACGACAGCUGCGCAUCUCAUGCAUUUGAUGGCUUUGGAAACAGCUUCAGCUCAGCCACUGCCCAGGAUCCAUCCGAGGCUCACGGGGCUGAUGUACAUCGGAGCUGCUGACACGCAGCACGGAUCACACAAGCCCUAAAGUACCUAAAAUUACCUCGUGUUAUCUUUUGAGAACGUCCCCACCCUCCAUUCAGAAUGACAACUUUUGGCAAUGACGGGAAAACAGAAAUGACAGAUGGUGACAAAAUCUGGUACACAAACACGGCGGUAGGCAGUAAAUGAAUGUCACCCACUCUCCCAUUUGUGCUCAUCGCCGUUUUUGAGCCUGCUGGGGUUGUUACGACACACAGAGCAGCCCCAAAGCACGGUGUGCUGAAUGCCAAAGGGGCACCAACUGGAGAGCAGAGCAGAGCCCCCACUGGGGGAGUGCAGCUGAGGGAUCGCACACCAACAGCCCGCCCUGCAGCCACUGGAAAUGCUGCCCUGAAAGCACUGCAUCCGCUGUCACCGGGAGCACGGCUGCAUCACACCGACACGCUCAGGGAAGGUUUCUAUGAUUUGCUGGGGAAUCCGGCAGCAAGGAGCAGACAAGCCCAAGCCUGCCAUGAAGACCACGGCCUUCUGUUCUGCCCUCUGCACUCCUAAAAGCAAUGCCCCAGCCCGACCUGCAGCCUUGGCGAUGCCGUGGGAUGAACACCAGCCGUGGGGCUGGGGCCUUUCACAGGUGCCCA
rnacentral:lncRNA from 1 species